rnacentral:snoRNA from 2 species
UACGAAGAUGAUGAAAAAAUAGACAGGGACAUCAACACUCCAAAGGAGAAUGUUGACUUCGUCUAAUGGGAAUCUCUCUGAUGCGUU